rnacentral:lncRNA from 1 species
CCCAACAUCGGGGUAUCACAAGUCAUGAGCAUCUACUAAGGUCUGAAUACAAUGAAGAGUCUGAAAAUAUACUAAAAACAAUCUAAGAAAGAUAAGAGGGAGAAGAGCAGAGGUGCGAACGUCGGGCAGCUACCUUGCUAACUCCGAUGACGCUGCCACUAAGCAACCAACACCCGCUACCGGGUUCAGAAUUACCUGAAUCUGCACACACAGUACAGGAAGUAAUGUGAGUAUGCUAACUCAGUAAGUAAUAAAAGUAAAUGAAAGCUGAGCAGUAAGAAAACACAUAAACCACGUCAAAAUGCUACAACAAAUGCAGGACAUUUCCAGCACAGUACAGAAAUCAUUUACUUUGUAAAAUCAUGCUCAGUUUCGGUAAAAACCUUUUAAAAUAAUUUUUCAAUAGUUUCGAACGAGUGAUAAAAUAGUGAGUAAACAUGAUAGAAAUGUAAACAGCCCCUCGGGCGAAAACAUGUACCAUAAAUCGUCCCUCGGGCAUAAUAUCAACAGAACCAGCCCCUCGGGCUACCUCACAAUCACUCGUAAUCAGCCCCCCGGGCAUAACAUGAAUCAAGAACUGCCCCCCUGGCAACAAUAUGAAACAACAACAGCCCCUCGGGCUACAUCAUAUCACUCACACUAGGUACCUGCACUCACUAGGGGUGUACAGACUCCGGGAGGGGCCCUUUACAGCCCAAGCGCAAGAACAAGCCAUCUCGUGGCAUAAUCAAAUAGGCUCUCGACCACAUAUCAAGCCACCUUGUGGCAUAACAAAUCAAGCCAUCGGCCUCACAAUCAUGAAUCAGUACAACACUGCUACGGCGCGUAGCCCGAUCCCAUAAUAUCCUCACAAAAUAGGCCCUUGGCCUCACUCAGUCAGAAUUCUCUCAAAGCCACUCGGGCAUAAUAAAACAUGAUGCUCAGCCCAAAAUAUUAUUUAAAAUGUCAAAACGGAGUAAAUAUGGCUGAGUUAUGAAAACAGUAGAGUACAGCAUGACUGAGUACAAAUAUGAAGUCAAAAUAGUAAGGAAUAGUAGUAAAAAUCUCCUAAGGGUCCAAAACAGUUGGUACGAAGCCCAAACAUGGCAUUCAGCCCAAAACAUGGUAAUAAUUUCCAAAAUACAAUGAUAUCAAACAGUUUGCAAUCAAAUACGCGACUUAACAGUCCUACGGAACGGACUAAGUCACAACCCCCAACNNNNNNNNNNNNNNNNNNNNNNNNNNNNNNNNNNNNNNNNNNNNNNNNNNNNNNNNNNNNNNNNNNNNNNNNNNNNNNNNNNNNNNNNNNNNNNNNNNNNNNNNNNNNNNNNNNNNNNNNNNNNNNNNNNNNNNNNNNNNNNNNNNNNNNNNNNNNNNNNNNNNNNNNNNNNNNNNNNNNNNNNNNNNNNNNNNNNNNNNNNNNNNNNNNNNNNNNNNNNNNNNNNNNNNNNNNNNNNNNNNNNNNNNNNNNNNNNNNNNNNNNNNNNNNNNNNNNNNNNNNNNNNNNNNNNNNNNNNNNNNNNNNNNNNNNNNNNNNNNNNNNNNNNNNNNNNNNNNNNNNNNNNNNNNNNNNNNNNNNNNUUUCAAUACCCUCAUGACAAAUAUUUACAAGCAUUACUUACCUCUAUCCGGUCCAAACUCUAGCCCGCGAUGCCUUGCCUCUCGAAUCGGCCUCCAAAUGCUCCAAAUCUAACCAAAAUCAGUAUAUUAUCAUCAGUAUAAGCUAAAGGAACAAAGCCCAAGUGAAAAUAAUCAAAUUAACUCAAAAAUCCCGAAAUUGGUUCAAACCCGGCCCCCGGGCCCACGUCUCAAAAUCCGAUAUAAAUCACAAAACUAGAAAACCCAUAUCAAAUUCACCAAAAUCUGACAUCAAAUGGUGAUUCAAAUCCCUAAAAUCAACUCUCCAAACCUUUUUUGAUUUUUUCCAAUUUUCACCCUAAAUUCCCAAAUUAAAUGAUAAGAAUCAAGACAUAAUCAUGAGAUUUAACCAAAUUUUAGUGAAGAACAGUUAUCCCAAUCAAUCCUCUGAAAAUCCUUUCAAAAAUCGCCUCAAUCCGAGCUCUAUAGCUCCAAAAAUGCAAAAAUGGCCGAAAUCCUCGAAAUAAAGUACUUUAUAAUCUGCCCAGGCAUUUAUCCUAUGCUAUCGCGAACAAACUAAUGUGAUAGCAAAGCACAAAUUUUCCAACCCUUCUUUUACCUUAUGCGAUCGCGGCCAUUCCCCCGCGAUCUCUUAGAACAAAUUUUUCCAACAGCCUUCUCCAACUCUUCCAGAUAUCCUCUAGUAUAAUGGUCAUAACUUUUUGUUCAAAUCUCUAAAUUAUAAUUGGUUUAACUUUCUGAAAACUAUACAUCAAGGACUACAACUUUUAUUUUUAGAUCUUCAAAUCCCUUAUAGAUUGUGAGAUAUAAGCUUCCAAAGUCAGCUGAGUGCAGUAGAGAUUUUACUCUAUGCGAUCGAGGGAAGACUUACGCGAUUGCAUAGCACAACUCCAUUUUUCCAAAUUUUCUCGAUGCUAACGCGGUCAGAUAUAUGCUAACGCUCUGUACACCCCUAAAGCCAAACACCAGCAACUAGAAAUGGCCUAGAAAUGGUCCGAAACCACCCCAAAACUCACCCGAGAUCCUUGGGAGCUCAACCAAACAUGCCAACACAUCCCAUAACAUCAUUAAAACUUGUUCCAACCUUCGGAAUCAAAACAACAUCAAAACAUCGAAUCACCCUCGGAUUCAAGCAUAAGAAUUCCAAAACUUCCGAAUUCCUAAUUCGAUCAAAAAGUUUAUCAAACCUCGUUCGAGUGACCUAAAAUUUUUCACACACAUCACAAAUGACACAACGGACCUACUCCAAUUUCCGAAAUUUCAUUCCGACCCCGAUAUCAAAAUUUCCACUGCUGAUCGAAAAAUGCCAAAUUUUCAAUUUCGCCAAUUGAAGCCUAAAUCUACCACGGACCUCCAAAUACAUUCUGGAUGUGCUCCCAAAUCCAAAAUCACCUAACGGAGCUAACCAAAUCAUAAAACUCCAAAUCCAAGAUCGAAUACUAAAAAUUCAAAACUUGGUCAAACCUUUCAAAUUUAAAGCUUCAGACUGAGAAUUGUUCUUCCAAAUCUAUUCUGAUUAUCCUGAAAACCAAAACCGACGAUUUACAUAAGUCAUAAAACAGCACACGGGGCUAGUCAUGCCCGAGAAUUGGCGAGCAAAAUGCAAAAGCUCAAAACGAACGGUCAGGUCAUUACAACUGGGCUCCAAAUAUAGAGCCUGGAACCCAUAUGUGAAUAUUUAUUUAUAAAAAAUAAUUAUUUAAUUUACAAACUAACAUGGAGACGGGUUUCUACAGGAUUUAGGAGAUUGGGCGGCUGCAGCUCGAUUGGUGUUUGGUCACGGCCCUGAUAGAGCGGUGGAGGCCGGAGACGCACACAUUCCACCUGCCCAUUGGCGAGGCCACCAUUACACUACAGGACGUGGAGGUUUUAUAUGGGUUGCAUGUUGAUGGACUGUCCGUUGCUCUACCGCCUGGCAUGAGAAAGAUGACACGUGUGCAGUACCUGGACAUGCUGCAAUGGCUCACUGCUUUCUGGCCAGAGGAUGAGAAUGUACUGCAUAGGACCAGUCAUUUUUUGUUGACGACUAUUCGACUGUGGUUGGAGGUAUUGCAUCCUCAGAUCGAUGGCGAUACACCGGAUUAUCAUGUUGACCGGUAUACGAGGUUGCUGCUACUCCUGUUGUUUGGAGGGGUCUUGUUCCCGAACACUUCAGGGAACCUAGUCAGCUUGAGAUUUCUUCAUCAUCUUGAGUGGCUAGAUGAUUUACCCCAAUACAGUUGGGGCUCUGUUGUUCUCGCCUACUUGUACAGGCAUAUGUGCAGGGCGAGCAUGGGCACCCAGCGUGAGGUUGCUGGAUUUUUGCUGCUACUAUAGGUGACAAUAUAUUCGAAUACUCUAUUCAUUUUAGCAUACCUAGUAAAUAUAUAUCUUAAAUUUUACGUCAACUUUGUAUGUUAGGUUUGGGCCUAAGAGCGGUUCCUGCAGUUGCAGCCACCUCUACCACCAUUAGAUCCGAAUGUACCACUGGAGUUCUUCCCUCUAGCUAGAAGGUGGGUUCUAUGGCGAGGACAUAUGUGCAAGGACGAGGCUCGACAUAAUCUCUCCUUGUGAAUGGAUAUAUUGGAUUUGUUGGAUGGCGCACAGGUAAAUGUAUGUCUAAGUUUACUUGUCAUUGCUUCAAACACAAGUUGUGUAUACUAACGUUUUCUGUUCUUCCUUAAUAGUUCAUAUGGACUCCAUAUAGCGACGCGGUGUUAACUGGCUUGCCCUGUUAUUGCUCGGCCGGCCAUGAGAUAUGGGGCUUUUCCAUCCCGUUGUUCUGCCUUGAUAUUGUGGAGCAUCAUGCCACCGAGCGGGUACUUCGCCACUUUGGUAGGCUGCAGAUCGUACCGACACCGCCCACCUGGGAGACCACACAUUACUAGAGGGAUGAUCGUACCAGGGUGGACGAUGCAUAUUUGGCAUGGCUACAAGAUCAGAUAUUUAAUUGGGACCAGCGAUUUCAAUGGAUUUGCCCCUUCCCCCCCUCCCCCUCACAGAGUCGACAGAAUACUGAGCAUGAUUAUAUGCCCUGGUACCAUGGUGUUACCCGACUUUUCAUCGGGAACCCCAUUCAUUGAGCUGGCGAUCGGUAUGUUCCAUACGUCGGGAGGCACGAGGCACUGGUAUGUUUUUUGGUAUUCUUACUUAUAACUGUGAUAUAGCAUUCUAUAAUUUAUAUUUUACAUAUUGUGCAUGCAAUUGAUAUACAUUUAGUCCACUAGUUGGGACUAUAGAUGCAGCAGUAUGCCGGCGAUCCUACGAUCGCUUUGUAGGAGUAUGGCCGGCAGGUUAUAGAAUUGGCUGCCUGGACACUGCAUCGAGCCAGAGAGGACGAGCGCUUAGAGCGCAUCCCUACUUAUGUGGCAUUAGAACACUACCAUCGAGGUAUGCAUGUCCCACGUAUGAGGGGACGAUGAGGCAGGGCUGUCCCACGAGGCAGGGAUGCCCCCACAAGGUAGGGUUGUCCCACGGGGUCGUGGGGGCCGGCAAUGAGGUGGUCCCCAGCAAGGGGGUGUUGAGGCAUAUGUUCCGGCACCUGUUGAGGAUGCUAGAGAUGAUAUGUCGGGUGACCUCCAUUAGCCAAACGAGCAUCACAGUAGCAUAUCGUCAUACAGCCUUCAGCUGGCACCGACUCCAGCAGCAUCGCAGGUGACCCUGUUAGAUCUAUUAUAUCUCGCAUUUUCGUACUUUAAAAGUUUCGUUUUCGGUUAAUUGACGUAGACUCGUGGAUGAGAUCAUCUUGACGUUAACGUACUUGCACUAUUUAUAACAAGCGAUAAAUAAGUGUUAUAAAGGGGUACACGGAUUAAAGAAAAUGAGUUUCGUUGAAAGUGGCCAAUUUGGAGUAAAAUAUGGGUCGCGCGAUAAUACCCGAUAAUUAUAAACUAGUACCAUGCAAGGUACCAUAUGACAACGGUAGUAUAAUAUAUAAAAUAUAUAUGAAGUAUUUUAAAAAUAAAUAAAAUUUUAAGUAAUUUGUGAUAAUUUUUAAAUUAUGCGGAUAAUUGAUUAAAUACCGGGUAAUAGAACAUUACCUAGUUAACUAAUAAGCAGACAAAAUUUAAUCAAUUAUACCCAAAGGAACGUGGCACAAGGUCACUAUUCAAGAAAGGUGAGUCAUAUUGACAUGGGUAUAGGUGUCUACCUAAUAUGACCAAGUCAUGACUUAACAUUAAAGUCUGGGUGAGACUUGAAUAAUCUGAUCCAAUUUUAAGCUUCAAUUCAUUUCAUUGCUUGAAAUCAAAAACUUGGAAAGACUUGGCAUUUUAAAGACUUAGCAAAAUGUUGCUUUCUGCCAAAACAACAAAAUCCCAUUCUCCCUUCCAUUACAAGUACAAACAGUAGAUGGGUUAGUAGGAGAUUUUGUUCAAUCCAUUCCAAGACAACAUGAAAGGUUAGAAGAUUGAUUUUCUUGAUUUGGACAAAAGGGACUAACGUCCCAAAAAUUUAGCCAAGCAGAAACAAUUUUGUUUCAGUUUUAUAGAUUCCAAGCAACAAUUUCGUUCAAAUUCAAAGAAGCAGAAGCUUCGUUUCGUGCAAAUAAUUCAAGGAAUAGGUAUGUUAAGGUCUCCCUUCUUUCUUUUGGCAUGGUCCAAGCUAUACUGAAGAAACGAGCAAAUACGCAGUUUCUAUAAAUUACUCUAUUUAUAGAAAUAGUAGGGGUGUCUAUAUUCUUGAUUCCCCACGUAUUAUUAUCUUUUGUUUAUGGGUCUCAGAAUAAUACACAGUUGGAAAAGUUUAUCCAGAAGGAAUAUUGAGAUUGUUUUACGUAUUUUUCAUGCAUUUCACUCAUUUAUACAUGUGCAUUGACCCAUGACCAGAUGGUGCUAUAUACGUGUAUAUAUGUAAAUAUAUGUAUAUGGGAUAUGGGAAAAGGUUACGUCGUUAUAUACGCAUCACCACCUAAUCAGCUGGUAUAUGUUGAUGAUGUUGCCCACAGUGGCCGAGAUGAUAUGAUGGGAUGCCCUCAGUGGCUUGAUGAUAUUAUGUACACCCAUACUUAUGCAUGGAACGACAUUUAUACGCACGUGCAUGACAUUAUAAACGUUUUAGAAUUUAUAAAGUUAUUUAGAUUUAAAGAUGUGUUUCCUUAUUCCAUGUUUCAUCUAUGUCUUUUACGUACUAAUUUUUAUGACUUACAUACUCAGUACAUUUUUCGUACUGAUACUCUAUUUCACGGGGCCUGCAUUUCAUGCCCGCAAGUGCAGGUUGGCAAGCUGGCGAUCCCCCUUCUUAGGAUUCUUGAUCAGCGAGAGUUGGCGUGCUCCACUUGAUCCGGAGCUAUUUUUGUUUUGGUACGAUAUGUUUGUAUAUAUGUAUGUAUAUGGGUAUGACGUGGCUCAAUCCUGUCUUUGUACAGUUAUGUUUCUGUUAGAGGUCUAUGUACAGUAUAUCUAGUUAGGUUGUAUGUGGCUUUGUCGGCUUUCAGGUUUGGAUGUAUAGUUGUCUAUAGCAGCCUUGCCGGCUCGCCCACUAUAUUCUGCAUGUAUACGUACAUAUGUCUUGAUGUCAGGUUUCCUUUACGUAUGUUAUUUUCAUAAUGUAACAGAUGUUAUUCAGGUUCAUAUCUUAGACGCAUGCUUAGGGGUGUUUGACAGGUAGGACUCAGGCACCCGUCGUGGCUCAUCGGUUUGGGUCGUAACAAAAGUGUUAUCAGAGCAUUUCUAUCUUAGGGUUGUCCACAGACCGUGUCUAGUAGAGUCUUGUUUAUGGGUGUCGUGCACUACACUUAUAAACAGAAGGCUACAAGACAUAUAGGAUGUUAUCCUCUCUUUUUAUCUCAGAUCGUGUGAUACAAGAAUUCAUGUUCCUAACGAUACGUUUGUUACACCUUCUUUUUUACCUACACCCCCGUAAGGGAGUAUAUAAGGGAGUUUUUCCAAAUUAACUGACAAUCAAAACGGGACUAUUUUAUUUAAAAUUCAGAGUCGCCACUUAGGAUAAUUUAUGGUGUCUCAGGUCACCGGUUCAAAUCCUGAAUCGAGGAAAGAUUGACUCUGUUUUACAAUCCGCGAACACAGAAAUUCGGGUAAGGAAUUAUGUUAACCCGGGAGAAGGUGUUAGACAUUUCUGUGUUCUAGCACGGUCGCUCAACUGUUACAAUUGGCCUAUUAUCUGAUUUUAAUACAUGUUUUAGCCUAUGGUUCAAUUUUAACUUUAUAACCGCUUUUAUUCAUUUUUAAGGAAGAUUGCAACGUCAUUUAAAAUACGACUUGCACCACGUCACAUAAAUGCACCCGCAGUCCGCAACACAUUUUGUCUGAAGUUAUUGAAAUUUUGAUUUGGGUCACAUAAAUGCGCACCCGAGUUUAAGAAGGUAAACUAUUAAAUAGCACGCCUAAAGCAGCUAUGCAUUUUAAAUCUGCGAGGGACAUGGAGAUUCAAUUAAAUGGCACGCCUCGAAUUCUAAGGAUANNNNNNNNNNNNNNNNNNNNNNNNNNNNNNNNNNNNNNNNNNNNNNNNNNNNNNNGUGUGGCCCCAUGGAGGACAAUAUGCGGGAAGUAAGACUCAUAUGGUUCGGGCACAUUCAGAGGAGGAGCACUGAUGCACCGGUGAGGAGGUGUGAGCGACUAGCUGUAGUGGGCACGCGGAGAGGUAGAGGAAGACCUAAGAAGUAUUGGGGAGAGGUGAUCAGACAGGACAUGGCGCGACUUGGGAUUACUGAGGACAUGGCCCUUGAUAGGGAAUUAUGGAGGUCAAGCAUUAAGGUUGUAGGUUAGGGGAGAGUGUGAAUAUUUCUACAGCACAAUAGAGGGAGACUAUCCAGUUAGGAGUUAGACUAGGAAUGUCAUUGGUCGUUUAUUGAUGCAGGGCUUUCCCUUCUAGUUGUACUAUACCAGCCAUCUUUUUCGUAUUUCGUAUUUUGUAUCAUGUAUUUCAUAUUUCAUAUCUCUUAUAUAUUGUUGUUGUUAUUGUUGUUAUUUUUAUUACGCAUUUUUAUGGUACUAAUAUAUCAUCUCCUAUUGCUUUUUUGAGCCGAGGGUCUCCUGGAAACAGUCUCUCUACCCUUCGGGGUAGGGGUAAGGUCUGCGUACAUAUUACCCUCCCCAGACCCCACUUGUGGGAUUAUACUGGGUCGUUGUUGUUGUUGUUGUUGUUUAAGUAUCACAACUAUGCCACGGGAACCGUACUCAUAAUUGUGAUGUUUUAAUUACGUGUCUAAAACAAAUUACAAGGUUCAUUGUUCAUCCCAAACUUUGAGAUUAUUGAUUACAAAAUGAAAGAAAACGUACUAAAUUUUCAUGACGUCAAUAACAGUAAAACGAACCAAAUCAAUUAAAGAACAAAGCAAUUAAUAUCACAUCACAUGGCCCCAUGGCUUAAACGCUUAUCAAACGGCCCAUUAGAACAACUCAGAACCAAAAAACAAGACAACCAAACUUGAUCAAAUUCGCGUCACAUUUCAAAUUAAUCACGAAACUAACAAAACCUUAUAACAAAUGAAUUUCACCUUAAGAACAUCAACAAACAUACACGCUAAGAAAUGGCUAAAUGUAUUUUAAUACCAGCAAGCUCAAAAUCACCUUCUUAAGUAAACCCACAUUUGAGACAUGAAAUGAACAUUCACAUAAAUAUAAAAACUCAAUGGAAUACUCGUUUAACCAAAAUUCUGGAAUCAAAUUAGAAAGACAUAGUAUAUAUGUAAAAGAAACAGACCUUUAUUGUCGAAAUCUGAAUUUUAAAGGUUUACAAUUCAACAACUGGACCAAACACCAGCGAGUCGGCAAACUCGACCUCGACGGAAGCCCAAAAAAUCAAACACCCAUCUCGACUCUUACUGAUUAAGAUCAAUUGUUUUCCGGAAAAGAAUUCGGUAUGCUCAAAAUUUGUCUAGAUUCAUCUAGUCGAUGCCGAAAUGGAAAGGAGAAUAUAUGAAAUUUCAUGACAUCGAUUUGAGCUAAAAUGGAGCAAACAUUUCGGCUCCAAAUAAGGAUAAAUCAGAAUCCCUUUCAGAACUUGGAAUGGGAGAUGAAUUAAGUAAAGGAAAUCGAAAUGGAAGCAAUAAAAAUGAAUAAAUAAAGGAAGUAUCUAAAGAGUUGAAACCAAGGAAAUGAUAGAGCGAAUUCGAGGGAUGAAGCCAAAACGGCGGAUCUUUCUUUUUGU